CUGGGUUUGACAUCACUUGAAAACUCGCAGAGAUGCGGGGUCCUUCGGGGCGGGUGACAGGUGGUGCAUGGCUGUCGUCAGCUCGUGUCGUGAGAUGUUGGGUUAAGUCCCGCAACGAGCGCAACCCUCGUUCGAUGUUGCCAGCGGGUUAUGCCGGGGACUCAUCGAAGACUGCCGGGGUCAACUCGGAGGAAGGUGGGGAUGACGUCAAGUCAUCAUGCCCCUUAUGUCCAGGGCUUCACACAUGCUACAAUGGCCGGUACAAAGGGCUGCGAUGCCGUAAGGUGGAGCGAAUCCCAAAAAGCCGGUCUCAGUUCGGAUCGGGGUCUGCAACUCGACCCCGUGAAGUCGGAGUCGCUAGUAAUCGCAGAUCAGCAUUGCUGCGGUGAAUACGUUCCC
rnacentral:rRNA from 1 species